CAGCAGCCACGGGAAUACGUAGGGUGCGAGCGUUAAUCGGAAUUACUGGGCGUAAAGCGUGCGCAGGCGGUUUGUUAAGACAGAUGUGAAAUCCCCGGGCUUAACCUGGGAACUGCAUUUGUGACUGGCCGGCUAGAGUAUGGCAGAGGGAGGUGGAAUUCCACGUGUAGCAGUGAAAUGCGUAGAUAUGUGGAGGAACACCGAUGGCGAAGGCAGCCUCCUGGGCCAACACUGACGCUCAUGCACGAAAGCGUGGGGAGCAAACAGGAUUAGAUACCCGCGUAGUCCCUGUCUCUUAUAC
rnacentral:rRNA from 1 species